GCAAGGUCAUUAAUCACAACAAAAAGAACAAACUGUUAUAUAAAGCAAUAAUUUUGCCAGACAAGUAUUUUAAGUCUGUCUAAACCAGAUGAUCAGAACAUAUUACCCAGUUCUUGGUUUAUUGUCUCCAUAAAGCAUUGGAAGGAUACAUGUCUGCCCUAGUAAUUUAUUUUAAUUUAAUUUUAUUUUUUUAUUUUAUUUUAUUAUUUUAUUUUAUUUUUUUUUUUUUUUUUUUUUUUUUUUUUUUUUCAGGCACAAAUAUGAUGAUCUUCUCAAAGUGUUGUUUUUUUGUUUUCAAUCCUUCUGGUUCUUGCAACAUUUUUACCUUUUCAAUGCCUAACUUAUUGUCUACUGCAACAAUGCAUUGAAAAUUCUGAAAAGGAGCGAAUACCAACGGGAAGCUUCACGAAAGCCGUUGUUAUCAGGAGAGAGUCUGUGAAAAGGGAGUACAAGAAAUAAGUAAAUGGAAAUGUAAAGUGAAAUUCAGAUGUGGAUGAGUAAAUACAAAUACAUUGAAAGCUGGCAAAAUGAGAUUCACAGGACUGUUCCUCUUCCCCAGACACACUGGAGCUCACAUGCAGGGCUAGCCACAUCAGCAGCUGCUACUAGACCCUUCAAUGGCAGAACAUGAAGGAGAGGAACUGCAAAAACCCUCCCAGGUCUAAUUGGUUUGGAUGCUUCCCACAACCUCAGAAUAGCAAAACCUCUGGUCUGCUCAUCAAGAGGAAAACAAGAUAACUUGUUAAAACCCAGGCACCAAUUUCUCUGCUUCUGGUGUUCACUAAAUCUCAGAUACUGGGAUUUCAAUGCUGGGCAAACCCAGAAACAUUGAUAAUUUCAUGGCUCAACAGGAUAUACAGGAAGAAAGGCCAUAGCGAAGAAAAGACAUAAAUAUUGACAUGCCAUUGAAUCAAAAUAAUUCAGUAUCUAUACAACAUCGGUAUUGUAAUCAUAAGAAGACAUAGAGAAAUAUUAAAAUCUGAAUUAAACCAGCUGUAUCUUUAUUAUCCUUCAAAUGGACCAGACUCCUGUAUCAGUAUUUUUUUGUUUUUGGUCCCUAGAGCUGCAGACACCGAUGUAGGAGGAGACACCUGUCAUCCUCUAUAUUGCUGGUGUCACUGAUAUGGCAGAGUCUGGAAAAGAGAAGAUCCCACACAUAAAUAAAUAUACAAGAACUGAUUCUGCAUUUGUGCCCAACACAAUCUCCAUUAACAUCAGAGACCACAGACUGACAUCUGUGUAAAUGACGUGAUAACCAAGACAGUAAAAAUGGUUGGGACUUCCCAUCUCUAAAUAGGCUGAUUUUUCAAAGUGGAAGCAAAUUUGAAGUACAGAUGCCUUCUGCAAUGCCUUGACCUGCCCAUUCAAAGUGUCCAGGCACUCCAUGUGUCAGUAUGUGCAAUUCUUCUGUUUUGUUACACAUUAAAGUGCUCUCCUCUCACAGAGGACAGUUUUCAAACUGCACAGCUGCAGCUUGGCUCCCCCGACCUUUCUUUGUCUGAAAAUGGGAAAAUAAAGCAUAGUUUGUCUUAGGAAAAUAAGAUAGGAAAAUAGUAGGAUGUUUUGUUUGCAGUGGGAUUGGGACAUGGAGAGUACUAAGGAGACUAUGAUUGAUAACUCACUGCUGUGCAAAAUAUUUUAUAUACUUUCUGCAUACAGAACAUAUCAAUUUGAAUUUUAUGCAUGUUUUGUCUGCUUGUAAAUUGAGCUGAAAGUGGGAUUAUUAUUAUUAUUAACAAUAAUAUAAUAACAUUAAUAUAUAUUAAUAUAAUUAAUAUUAAUACAACAACAACAACAACAACAACAACAACAACAACAAUAAUAAUAAUAAUAAUAAUAAUAAUAAUAAUAAUAAUAAUAAACAGUAAUGCACAUUAAAAUGCAGAGGUAAUAGGGGUUGGGACAAAUGUUUGCUGCAUCAGAGGAAAAGAUUGUUCAGACUUUACUGGGCACAGAAUGGGUUCCAAGUCUCUCUCUCUAAAUUAAAUGGCAGUCUUGAAAUACAUAAAACACAAUGGUAUAAUGAAUAUAGGAGGAAUUUUCCAUUGAAUACUUACAUCCCACAGUGCUGGAGUUACAGAGGCAGUGGCUGGAAAGACCAUUUUAGCAGAAACUGAUGUGUUACUGUAUUACUAUCAGUGGAACAAUUCUGACGUGUUAUGUGCUCAUUUGAAGACUUCAGAAUGUACCUUGCUAGCCUGGUUUCAAGAGAGACAGAAUUUGAGUCCAAUCCCAGUCUGGUGAUCAAGGCUAUUUAGGAAAGUCCAGAAAAAUCUGUAAACAUUCUCAUUUUAAAGGAAACUGAAUAUUUACAAUUUUUCGGAAAUGUUAACUAUAAAAUAAAUAUGGGAGUCUCACUGCAGUACCUCAACCCAUGCAAAUCAAUAUGUGUUAAGAGUACAUGCAAACAUCAAGUAUUAGAUUAGAUUUAGAUAAUAUUAUUCUAAAUAUAUAAAAAUAUCUCUAUAUAGAUGCCUGUAGUUGUUUAAAUCAUUUUUCUUUAUGACCUUUCCAUAUUACAUCUUAUAUCUCUGUAAGCUGUUUUGAUUUGUGUGUUUUUUGUUUUUUUUUCCUGGCAAUGUCUAAAAGUUGCAUUCACUUCUCUGCUCUGUUACUACUUCUCUGCUCUGUUACUGAGGCACAGAUGGACUGCUUCAUGGAACUUCCCAUGUUCACAAUUUUACAAUUUUUCUUUUUUUUUUUUUUUUUCUUUUUCUCUCACUUUUUAUAUUUUACUUGGCUAAAGUAACUGUUACUUUACUGCAAGUUAUGCAUAAACCUUAGAUUAGUGAUAGCUAAAUACAGAAGGCCAAAUUCCUAGCUGAAAUGAAAAUAGGAAUACUCGUGCAGCCUGAUUGACUGCCUGAGAGUUAUGUUGGCUUUCAUGGCCAAAGUGCUACAUGGAGAGAAGCUGACUAAAUUCUGAUGUUCCUUUCUGAAGCCAGCCUAACUGAAAGGUUGACAACAAGAAAACAAACCAAACAAGAGCGAGUUUUCAAAGAGGGAGUAGGAGAGAGCAGCAAGCAGCUGCCUGGAGGAUAAUUCCCUGGAGGAAGAUUUUGUUCAUUUUCUUCCCUGCUCGUACAGUCCUGGGGAUAUCUCGAUCAAUAUCAGAGCUCUAAUGCAAUAUGUAAAAGAUUAUAUUUCAUAACAUAUAUUAAAUAGUACCUUUCCAUACACAGUCUUAAUUUUAAUUAUUCUUGCAUGGAUAGAAAGUGAUUUUGUUUACUGUAAGUGAGGAGCUGAGGAAAGUCACGCAGCUCAGAGUGGGGAGUGAUUUCCAAAUCUGAGAUUCAAACGGCACAGCCUGGCUCUGCAGAAGGCUGGUGUCGGCAGGUCUCUGUGUGGUGGUGACAUCUCCCCGCCUCUUCUCCAUGCACUGCUUGGAGGAGGGGACAAGGCAGGGCUGGGGCUCAUGCUGAGAGGUGCAGACUUUACUGUGUGUGACUGAGUAAUGAACACCCCAGUGCAUCUGUUGCCUUCAGAGAGCCAACAGAGAAAAAGCUUGCCAGCUGUUCUUAUUUCUUUCUUUGCACAGCACUGGGAGGGGGUGCAGGGGUGGACCGAGUUCUGGCUGCUAAGAUCAUUCUCUGCUUGAAGUUUGGAAAUUGCUUAAACACAUAUACCCUUUCCCUUUGAUAAAGACAUCAUUACUGAAGUUUUUACAAAGUAAUAUUAGCCUAUUUCAUAUGCAUUGAUGUGUGCUACUUUUCUUCAUGCAAAGCUAAAGUGAAUGUAUCUAGAACAGAGCUCAAAGUUAAUUAGCAAUGAUCAUGUUUUGACACCUUUUUCUUAGUCAGACACUUUCAAUCAUUGUAAAUAAGUAGCACCUAGCAUUAUUUAUUUAUUUUUAUAUAAUAUUUUAUUUAUAAGUUCUUAAAAAAAAAAGUAGGCCCAGAAUCUUGUAAAAUUUUAGUCUGGAGCAGACUUCACUGAAGUUAAAGAGCUUUGAAAAAUAAGAUUUAGCUUGAGAAGACUGCUAAAACCCUUUUAAUUAUUAAAAAAAAAAAAAAAAAAAAAAAAAAAGAGAGUACCUUUUUGGCACCAAGAGCAUGGUAAUAGCUUCAGAGGCAGGGAGAGGAUUUGUCUGCUGGCAAAAUAUUGGUCUGAAUAGACCUCUGAAGAUCACCUAGUCCAACCCAAGCAGGAUCACCCAGAGCACAUUGCACAGGAUGGAGUCCAGGUGGGUUUUAAAUAUCUCCAGAGAAGAGAUAUUUAUAUAUCUCUUGUAUAUAUAUAUAUAUAAGGGUGACAUAUAUAUAUAUGAGAUAUAUAUAUUAUAUAAUUAUAUAAUAAUAUAUAUAUAUCUGUCAUCCUCACAGGAAAGGAAUGCCCUCUCAUUUUCAGAUGGAAUUUCCUCUGCUCCAGUUUGUGCCCAUUGCCCUACCUGCUACCCUGCUUCCUUCUCCCCUGUCCAGCAUGCUCCUUCAUUCACCAACACCUGGAUGGAGCUCAGAAACUCCCACACCAUCAGUAACGAAAGAUUUUUUCCCUCUCCUAAGUCCCUGUAGUAAAAGACAGUAAAUGUGGGAUGUGGAUCUUUUCGUUAUUUUUUUUAAGUAUGAAAAAUGGGAAAAAGAAAAAUUCUGCUUUAGUUUUGCAAAAAAUAUUCCUGCUAUGGAAAGGGAUAUUUUCUGUUGACCCUAUUGCAAACCAGGAUAGUACAUAUUAAUAUACAUAAUAGUACAUAUACAUAGUGGUUGUUCAUAUAUAUGUUUAUAUAGGCUUACUUAAUUACACAUUUGUAUGUAUAUAUAUCAUACAUAAGUAUGUAUAGUAUAGUAUAGUAUAGUAAGUAUACCAAAGGGUGUAUUUUCCUACAUAUGCAAUACAGGGAGAAAGGUAUAGCUUUCAGUUGUAACAAUAAGUUGUAUCAAUAAGCUCUUGCAUUUUGAAAAUGUCAUUGUACUGGGAGUAGGGGGAACAUUCAUUCCAUGCUUGCUGUGUAGCAUAUAACAUUGCAUACCUGGUGAACAUGAUUGAAAAUGAUCAUAAAACACCCUUGUAAAUGUUCUAUGCAUUAUUUGGGUUUGUCUUCUUUGUUUGUUUGUUUUGUUUUAUUUUCUGUUUUAUUUUUCUCCUAACCUUGAACCUUUGUAAUCUGGACUGAGAAAAUUUACAAAAUGCAAUGGUGAAUUUAGGAGACUGGCUUUUGUUAUCAUGUGUCUACACAUUUACUUAUUUGGCAAACAUUUUUUUUUUAUGAACAUACUGUAUCACUUCCUAUUUUAAAUUAAGGUUAUCAUAGAAAUCAAAACAAAUUAAAGAUCCAUUUGCUUUUCUGUGCAGGGUAAA